AGCGAACGCUGGCGGCAUGCCUAACACAUGCAAGUCUGACGGGCCUGGGGCUUGCUCCGGGUCAGUGGCGGACGGGUGAGGAACGCGUAGGAACGUAUCCAAGGGUGGGGGAUAACCGCGGGAAACUGCGGCUAAUACCGCAUGGGGCCUCAAGGGAGACCUGGGGGCCAAAGGCUGAGGGAAACCUUGGUCGCCGAUGGAGCGGCCUGCGUCCGAUUAGCUAGUUGGUGGGGUGACGGCUUACCAAGGCUACGAUCGGUAGCUGGUCUGAGAGGAUGAUCAGCCACACUGGGACUGAGACACGGCCCAGACUCCUACGGGAGGCAGCAGUGGGGAGUAUUGGACAAUGGGCGAAAGCCUGAUCCAGCAAUGCCGCGUGGGUGAAGAAGGUCUUCGGAUUGUAAAGCCCUUUCGGCGGGGACGAUGAUGACGGUACCCCGCAGAAGAACGCCCCGGCUAACUUCGUGCCAGCAGCCGCCGCCGUAAU
rnacentral:rRNA from 1 species